rnacentral:lncRNA from 1 species
UGAGGUUGGUUGGUGAGCCGAGUGUAAAACCAACGUGUGUAAGGGUUCGAUUGUGAUCCCGGGAAAACAAUCGGGGCGGUUCUAGUCGGUGAGCCAGGGAAAACCGACUGAGUUCGUUGUGAGCUCGUAAAACAACAAGUUUGGUUGUGAGCUUGGAAAACAACCGGCUGUAAUCCAAGGGGUUAUAGUGAAUUCCUAAGUGAGACUUGGGGAGUGGACGUAGGAGCAAGGGUUAGCUCCGAACCACUAUAAAACUUGGUGUUUGUGAUUGAUUGUCUCUCUUUCUCUUACUCUCAUAUCACUCACAGCACAUAGCAAUUAAUUAAACAACUUGCAAUAGUUUUAAUUAGUCAUCCACAACGUUUUAAAUAGCUAAAUUAUUUUAAAACCCAAUUCACCCCCCCUCUUGGGUUGUCUAUCUGGGCAACACUGCUCUUUCAUGUAAUUACUUGAAAAUAACAAAAAGAGAGAGAUAUAAAGAAAAAGAAAAUGAACAUUGUUCGGGAGAAGUAAAAGCUAAGUAAAUACUCCAAUCUUAAGAAAAAGCAGAGCAAGCAUAAUAUAUUCAGCAUAUUUGUGAGACUUGUGUGAGCAUUCUUUUGGAAGGGAUAAAAUUCGUAAUUAAUUAUAUUUAAAUAGGGAGAGUUUGGAGUGAAUAUCUUGUUGUUGAAGAGAACAGUUUAACCUUUCUACAUUGCUCAUCAUAGGGAUGGUGCCAAUGGGAAGGCUAGUAAUAGUACCCGGCACUAUUUGACCCAACUAUUCGGUGUAGGGUAUAUUAGGGACGGCACAAGAGGGAGGCUAGUGGUAGUACCUCGUGCCCCUUCCAACUUCACCGGAUAGGAAACAAAUAGAAUAUAGAGCAUAGAAAAGUAAAACCGAAAAACAAAUGAAGAUAAUCAAAAUGUUCAUUGAGUGGUUAAAGAAAGAAAUUAAAAAAAAAAUUUGGGGAAUGAAUGAUAAAUAAAUGAAAAUAUAUAAGAAGGUUGAGAAAAAAAACCAAAUGAAGUUUCAAUCACUUGAAAACACACCUUAAGGAUGAAAUCAGUGCUAAAUUGUAUUU